CCACUGAUUUUUUUAUUUGAAAUACGUCGGCGUUAUGUUGUACUUUGACUUCGUAGUAGUAAAUUUGUUCCUGGAAUUAUUAAAAAUAUUAUUAUACCUGGAAACGUAAGCCGCAAUAACUAAAGCCACUCUUUACUUUCUCUAUCCGAAAAAUGUUCUCACUCUAAAUUCUCUCAAAUCUUGCGAACCGAAUAAGUUUCUUGAAAGAACCCAGAAAGUUUCA
rnacentral:lncRNA from 1 species